AACGAACGCUGGCGGCAUGCCUAACACAUGCAAGUCGAACGAAGCCUUCGGGCUUAGUGGCGCACGGGUGCGUAACGCGUGGGAAUCUGCCCCUUGCUUCGGAAUAACAGUUAGAAAUGACUGCUAAUACCGGAUGAAGUCUUCGGACCAAAGAUUUAUCGGCAAGGGAUGAGCCCGCGUAGGAUUAGGUAGUUGGUGGGGUAAAGGCCUACCAAGCCGACGAUCCUUAGCUGGUCUGAGAGGAUGAUCAGCCACACUGGGACUGAGACACGGCCCAGACUCCUACGGGAGGCAGCAGUGGGGAAUAUUGGACAAUGGACGCAAGUCUGAUACAGCAAUGCCGCGUGAGUGAUGAAGGCCUUAGGGUUGUAAAGCUCUUUUACCAGGGAUGAUAAUGACGGUACCUGGAGAAUAAGCUCCGGCUAACUCCGUG
rnacentral:rRNA from 1 species